UCAAAACUAUUGGUCACUUUUUAGUUCCCACUUUCCGACCCUUCUUCUUCCCACAUUGUGUAACACAUUUUGUUUAAUUGCACUUGUUCAGAAAACAUGGCAUCCAUCACUCCCCUUCAUACCAUUAUUCCUAAGAACACACCCAUCUUCCCUACCCGUGUUACUAUUCCCAACACAAGAUUCUCAUUUUCGGGCUCAAGUGGCUUACCCUGUGGCAGGAUUCAGAGGAUCAAUAAUAGAUCUUCUACAAUUGUGGUUUCAGCAGUUGGAGAUGUAUCUUCUGACAGCACCACUUACCUUGUUGCAGGUGCUAUUGCAGUUGCACUCAUUGGAACAGCCUUCCCCAUUGUGUUCUCUCGCAAAGACACAUGCCCUGAGUGUGAUGGAGCAGGGUUUAUUCGAAGGGCAGAUGCGGCAUUGAGAGCAAAUGCAGCAAGAAAGGAUCAAGCUCAAAUUGUUUGUCCUCGCUGCAAUGGGAGCGGCCUGGAAUGAAGAGAGGAAAGAUGAAGCUAGAUGAGGAUCUGGGUCCUGAUCGUGAGGAUGAUAUCCAAACUGACGAUGAAGAAAAUCAGGCAGAAAGGGUGUUUGAACAUUUGGAUGAUGAUACCGAAUCAGAUAACACACCCCUUUCACCAACUUUGUCCAAUGAGGUUUCCAUGAGUCCCUCUUGGCCUCUAAGUUAUAGGCAAUCUAUGGACAUGUUAACUAGUGUAACACCACCUGGACUUACUUUCCUAAAGAGAAUUGGUUCAAAAGGAGGAACUAACUCUUUCACUACAGCAUUCAGGAGAUUUCAGGAAAACGAAGAUGAUUCAUCUUUGAGUGUACCUCUUUUUAGCGAGACAAGUUCAUUGACACAACAGGAUGAACCUGCCUCAGCACCCCAUGAGCAAUCAAGC